rnacentral:misc_RNA from 1 species
AAGUAUCUCAAAAGCCCUAUGCACUAUGCAGGGAACUUUUGGACAUUGGGAGUUGCUGGUCACUGAUAAAGUGGUUGGCUCUUCUGAAAAGCAUUAGUUGAGGAACUUUUUGUACUCUACUGGUGUGAUAGACUAUCUAUGCCAGGAGAAGCAUUAUGAAGCCUCUGCUGUCUAACAGUCCAUAAUGGACAAGAUGAUAA